GGACAGCGGGUGGAGGAGCACGGCCCUGGCUGGAGCGCUGCCAGCGGCGUUGGAAGCAGCGGGUUUGUACCCAGCCCGGUAUCCCCCCGGAAUAUAAAGGCAGUGAAACAGAAGCUGUGCGGGAGAUAAGGCGGCAGCGCCCGGCAGCUCAUAUGGAAUUACUGCAGUGACCUUGAGCUGGAGGCUGCCAGGGCCAAGGCCUUUCUGGGGAAUGCUGUCCAGCUACUUGAGCAGGAAGGCUGCACUUCACCCACGGAUGGUGCCAGGUCAAGGGAGACCCUGCUUGCUCUGUCUUGGAAGUCUGCUUCGACCCAACCCCAUCAGCAGAGCAUCCAACAUUAAGAACGGGUUGUUUUACUUCCACUACAAAAGAAAGAAUUCCAGUUAACCCAAAGAAACAUUUUCACAUCCAGACAGACAAGCCUGCUGCACCUACGCACUGUAAGCAUAUUAUUUUUGCCACAUAUUUGGCUCUUUUUAAUUAAUCUGAGCUGUACUGCACUGAAAAACAAUGACCUUGAAGAGUACUUUGUUUAAGUGAACAGGUCUCAAACAUACAUCAGAACAAGCUUAUAUAAGAGAUAAAAACGUGAUAGAUUUUUUCAGUUAGUGUGAAAAGCAGGGCUAAAAUCCAGCUAAAUUAAAACGCUUAUUCUUUUUUCUCCACGCA